UACGUAGGGUGCAAGCGUUAAUCGGAAUUACUGGGCGUAAAGCGUGCGCAGGCGGUGAUGUAAGACAGAUGUGAAAUCCCCGGGCUCAACCUGGGAACUGCAUUUGUGACUGCAUCGCUGGGGUGCGGCAGAGGGGGAUGGAAUUCCGCGUGUAGCAGUGAAAUGCGUAGAUAUGCGGAGGAACACCGAUGGCGAAGGCAUCCCCUGGGCCUGCACUGACGCUCAUGCACGAAAGCGUGGGGAGCAAACAGG
rnacentral:rRNA from 1 species